rnacentral:rRNA from 1 species
GAUGAACGCUGGCGGCGUGCAUAACACAUUCAAGUCGAACGGUGAUGAGGGCUUCGGUCCUCUGAUCAGUGGCGGACGGGUGAGUAACGCGUGAGCAACCUGCCUAUGUGUGUGGAAUAACACAGGGAAACUUGUGCUAAUACCGCAUAACGCAUUUGAAUCGCAUGGUUUGAAUGCCAAAGAGAAAUUGCACAUAGAUGGGCUCGCGUCUGAUUAGAUAGUUGGUGAGGUAACGGCUCACCAAGUCGACGAUCAGUAGCCGGACUGAGAGGUUGAACGGCCACAUUGGAACUGAGAUACGGUCCAGACUCCUACGGGAGGCAGCAGUGGGGAAUAUUGGGCAAUGGGCGAAAGCCUGACCCAGCGACGCCGCGUGCAGGAAGAAGGUCUUCGGAUUGUAAACUGCUGUUGUAAGGGAAGAAGAAAGUGACGGUACCUUACGAGGAAGCCACGGCUAACUACGUGCCAGCCGCCGCGGUAAAAC